GCCGCGCCGCCCGGGGCCCGCAGGGGCGCCGCUUACCCGGGAGGCCCGGAGUGGCCGCUCCGAGUUUGCACCGCUGGCGGGAUGAAGCCCACCGACGCGAGCGAACGUCGCGGUCCCCGGCGCUCCGGACAGGUUGUCUAGGAGACCGUGGAAAAGUCUCGUCAUACACACACUGCCCAGCCCCGGCCGGGGACGCCUCCGGACCGGGGACCGUGCCCUGUGUCCGUUCUCAGCCUUACACGUGAGCCAACCACAGUCCUCCGAGUAGCGAGUGUUCACGCUUCAUGGCUUUCCAACCCCGGCUGCUUUUCUCGAUUUUCCUCUUGACUAUGCACCAAGCUUUUGUGUAUACCGGCCCCCAUCAGAAAAGCAACAGGGACAAAACUGAGAAGCAUAAGGCAUUCCAGGAAGAAGGAGCGAGAAAUGUGUGUAAUGGCUGA
rnacentral:lncRNA from 1 species